UUAAUUGAAGAGUUUGAUCAUGGCUCAGAUUGAACGCUGGCGGCAGGCUUAACACAUGCAAGUCGAGCGGUAGCACAGGGGAGCUUGCUCCCCGGGUGACGAGCGGCGGACGGGUGAGUAAUGUCUGGGAAACUGCCUGAUGGAGGGGGAUAACUACUGGAAACGGUGGCUAAUACCGCAUAAUGUCGCAAGACCAAAGAGGGGGACCUUCGGGCCUCUUGCCAUCAGAUGUGCCCAGAUGGGAUUAGCUAGUAGGUGGGGUAAUGGCUCACCUAGGCGACGAUCCCUAGCUGGUCUGAGAGG
rnacentral:rRNA from 1 species